rnacentral:lncRNA from 1 species
AUCGAUUGGGAAAUCGAUUUCAUAACAAGGGUGUAAGGAUAAGUAUAUGUUUGUGAUUGUAUAAUCGACUGGGAAAUCGACUGACUAAAUUAGAAUUGAAAAUUGAACAAGUCAGUGGCAACCUGUUUUACAGGUUAAUCGAUUGACAAAUCGAUUGUACAUAUCACAAAAUGAAAACUGAUUGAAACUAAUCGACUGGCAAAUCGAUU